CCUACGGGAGGCAGCAGGGGGGAAUAUUGCACAAUGGGGGAAACCCUGAUGCAGCGACGCCGCGGGAGUGAAGAAGUAAUUCGGUACGUAAAGCUCUAUCAGCAGGGAAGAAACACUGACCUUACGGUCAGCAGACGGUACCUGAGUAAGAAGCCCCGGCUAACUACGUGCCAGCAGCCGCGGUAAUACGUAGGGGGAAAGCGUUAUCCGGAUUUACUGGGUGUAAAGGGAGCGUAGACGGUGCGCCAAGUCUGGGUUGAAUGCCGGAGCGUAACUGCGGAACUGUUUUGGAAACUGGCGAACUAGAGUGCGGGAGGGGUAAGCGGAAGUCCUAGUGUAGCGGUGAAAUGCGUAGAUAUUAGGAGGAACACCGGUGGCGAAGGCGGCUUACUGGACCGUAACUGACGUUGAGGCUCGAAAGCGUGGGGAGCAAACAGGAUUAGAUACCCCUGUAGUC
rnacentral:rRNA from 1 species